GAACGCUGGCGGCGUGCCUAAUACAUGCAAGUCGAACGAGUUCUGAUUAUUGAAAGGUGCUUGCAUCUUGAUUUAAUUUUGAACGAGUGGCGGACGGGUGAGUAACACGUGGGUAACCUGCCCUUAAGUGGGGGAUAACAUUUGGAAACAGAUGCUAAUACCGCAUAAAUCCAAGAACCGCAUGGUUCUUGGCUGGAAGAUGGCGUAAGCUAUCGCUUUUGGAUGGACCCGCGGCGUAUUAGCUAGUUGGUGAGGUAACGGCUCACCAAGGCAAUGAUACGUAGCCGAACUGAGAGGUUGAUCGGCCACAUUGGGACUGAGACACGGCCCAAACUCCUACGGGAGGCAGCAGUAGGGAAUCUUCCACAAUGGACGCAAGUCUGAUGGAGCAACGCCGCGUGAGUGAAGAAGGCUUUCGGGUCGUAAAACUCUGUUGUUGGAGAAGAAUGGUCGGCAGAGUAACUGUUGUCGGCGUGACGGUAUCCAACCAGAAAGCCACGGCUAACUACGUGCCAGCAGCCGCGGUAAUACGUAGGUGGCAAGCGUUAUCCGGAUUUAUUGGGCGUAAAGCGAGCGCAGGCGGUUUUUUAAGUCUGAUGUGAAAGCCCUCGGCUUAACCGAGGAAGUGCAUCGGAAACUGGGAAACUUGAGUGCAGAAGAGGACAGUGGAACUCCAUGUGUAGCGGUGAAAUGCGUAGAUAUAUGGAAGAACACCAGUGGCGAAGGCGGCUGUCUGGUCUGUAACUGACGCUGAGGCUCGAAAGCAUGGGUAGCGAACAGGAUUAGAUACCCUGGUAGUCCAUGCCGUAAACGAUGAAUGCUAGGUGUUGGAGGGUUUCCGCCCUUCAGUGCCGCAGCUAACGCAUUAAGCAUUCCGCCUGGGGAGUACGACCGCAAGGUUGAAACUCAAAGGAAUUGACGGGGGCCCGCACAAGCGGUGGAGCAUGUGGUUUAAUUCGAAGCAACGCGAAGAACCUUACCAGGUCUUGACAUCUUUUGAUCACCUGAGAGAUCAGGUUUCUCCUUCGGGGGCAAAAUGACAGGUGGUGCAUGGUUGUCGUCAGCUCGUGUCGUGAGAUGUUGGGUUAAGUCCCGCAACGAGCGCAACCCUUAUGACUAGUUGCCAGCAUUUAGUUGGGCACUCUAGUAAGACUGCCGGUGACAAACCGGAGGAAGGUGGGGAUGACGUCAAAUCAUCAUGCCCCUUAUGACCUGGGCUACACACGUGCUACAAUGGAUGGUACAACGAGUUGCGAGACCGCGAGGUCAAGCUAAUCUCUUAAAGCCAUUCUCAGUUCGGACUGUAGGCUGCAACUCGCCUACACGAAGUCGGAAUCGCUAGUAAUCGCGGAUCAGCACGCCGCGGUGAAUACGUUCCCGGGCCUUGUACACACCGCCCGUCACACCAUGAGAGUUUGUAACACCCGAAGCCGGUGGCGUAACCCUUUUAGGGAGCGAGCCGUCUAAGGUGGGACAAAUGAUUAGGGUG
rnacentral:rRNA from 1 species